rnacentral:rRNA from 1 species
CACGUGGGUAACCUGCCUGUAAGACUGGGAUAACUCCGGGAAACCGGAGCUAAGACCGGAUAGUUCCUUGAACCGCAUGGAAUCAAGGAUGAAAGACGGCUUCGGCUGUCACUUACAGAUGGACCCGCGGCGCAUUAACUAGAUGGCGGGGUAAUGGCUCACCAAGGCGACGAUGCGUAGCCGACCUGAGAGGGAGAUCGGCCACACUGGGACUGAGACACGGCCCAUACUCCUACGGGAGGCAGCAGUAGGGAAUCUUCCGCAAUGGACGAAAGACUGACGGACCAUCGCCGCGUGAGUGAUGAAGGUUUUCGGAUCGUAAAGCUCUGAUGUCAGGGAAGAACAAGUGCUGAGAGUAACUGCUCGCACCUUGACAGUACCUAACCAUAAAGCCACGGCUAAUUACGUGCCAGCAUCCGCGGUAAUACGUAUGUGGCAAGCGUUUUCCGGAAUUAUAUGAGCGUAAAGGGCUCGCAUGCGGUUUCUUAAUUCUGAUGUGAAAGCCCCCGGCUCAACCGGGGAGGGUCAUUGGAUACUGUGAAACUUGAUUGCAUCAGCAU